CUCAGGAUGAACGCUAGCGGCAGGCUUAACACAUGCAAGUCGAGGGGUAUAUUUCUUCGGAGAUAGAGACCGGCGCACGGGUGCGUAACGCGUAUGCAAUCUACCUUUUACAGAGGGAUAGCCCAGAGAAAUUUGGAUUAAUACCUCAUAGCAUAGCAAUCUCGCAUGAGAUCACUAUUAAAGUCACAACGGUAAAAGAUGAGCAUGCGUCCCAUUAGCUAGUUGGUAAGGUAACGGCUUACCAAGGCUACGAUGGGUAGGGGUCCUGAGAGGGAGAUCCCCCACACUGGUACUGAGACACGGACCAGACUCCUACGGGAGGCAGCAGUGAGGAAUAUUGGACAAUGGGCGCAAGCCUGAUCCAGCCAUGCCGCGUGCAGGAUGACGGUCCUAUGGAUUGUAAACUGCUUUUGUACGAGAAGAAACACUCCUAUGUAUAGGAGCUUGACGGUAUCGUAAGAAUAAGGAUCGGCUAACUCCGUGCCAGCAGCCGCGGUAAUACGGAGGAUCCAAGCGUUAUCCGGAAUCAUUGGGUUUAAAGGGUCCGUAGGCGGUUUAGUAAGUCAGUGGUGAAAGCCCAUCGCUCAACGGUGGAACGGCCAUUGAUACUGCUGAACUUGAAUUAUUAGGAAGUAACUAGAAUAUGUAGUGUAGCGGUGAAAUGCUUAGAGAUUACAUGGAAUACCAAUUGCGAAGGCAGGUUACUACUAAUGGAUUGACGCUGAUGGACGAAAGCGUGGGUAGCGAACAGGAUUAGAUACCCUGGUAGUCCACGCCGUAAACGAUGGAUACUAGCUGUUGGGGGCAACUUCAGUGGCUAAGCGAAAGU
rnacentral:rRNA from 1 species